GAUGAACGCUGGCGGCGUGCUUAACACAUGCAAGUCGAACGAUGAAGCCCAGCUUGCUGGGUGGAUUAGUGGCGAACGGGUGAGUAACACGUGAGUAACCUGCCCUUAACUCUGGGAUAAGCCUGGGAAACUGGGUCUAAUACCGGAUAGGAGCGUCCACCGCAUGGUGGGUGUUGGAAAGAUUUAUCGGUUUUGGAUGGGCUCGCGGCCUAUCAGCUUGUUGGUGAGGUAAUGGCUCACCAAGGCGACGACGGGUAGCCGGCCUGAGAGGGUGACCGGCCACACUGGGACUGAGACACGGCCCAGACUCCUACGGGAGGCAGCAGUGGGGAAUAUUGCACAAUGGGCGAAAGCCUGAUGCAGCGACGCCGCGUGAGGGAUGACGGCCUUCGGGUUGUAAACCUCUUUCAGUAGGGAAGAAGCGAAAGUGACGGUACCUGCAGAAGAAGCACCGGCUAACUACGUG
rnacentral:rRNA from 1 species